rnacentral:rRNA from 1 species
CAAUUUAAACAACGAAGAGUUUGAUCCUGGCUCAGGAUGAACGCUAGCGACAGGCUUAACACAUGCAAGUCGAGGGGCAGCGGGGGUAGCAAUACCGGGUGGCGACCGGCGCACGGGUGAGUAACGCGUAUGCAACUUACCUAUCAGAGGGGGAUAACCCGGCGAAAGUCGGACUAAUACCGCAUGAAGCAGGGGCCCCGCAUGGGGAUAUUUGCUAAAGAUUCAUCGCUGAUAGAUAGGCAUGCGUUCCAUUAGGCAGUUGGCGGGGUAACGGCCCACCAAACCGACGAUGGAUAGGGGUUCUGAGAGGAAGGUCCCCCACAUUGGUACUGAGACACGGACCAAACUCCUACGGGAGGCAGCAGUGAGGAAUAUUGGUCAAUGGGCGUAAGCCUGAACCAGCCAAGUCGCGUGAGGGAUGAAGGUUCUAUGGAUCGUAAACCUCUUUUAUAAGGGAAUAAAGUGCGGGACGUGUCCCGUUUUGUAUGUACCUUAUGAAUAAGGAUCGGCUAACUCCGUGCCAGCAGCCGCGGUAAUACGGAGGAUCCGAGCGUUAUCCGGAUUUAUUGGGUUUAAAGGGUGCGUAGGCGGCCUUUUAAGUCAGCGGUGAAAGUCUGUGGCUCAACCAUAGAAUUGCCGUUGAAACUGGGAGGCUUGAGUAUGUUUGAGGCAGGCGGAAUGCGUGGUGUAGCGGUGAAAUGCUUAGAUAUCACGCAGAACCCCGAUUGCGAAGGCAGCCUGCCAAGCCAUGACUGACGCUGAUGCACGAAAGCGUGGGGAUCAAACAGGAUUAGAUACCCU